rnacentral:rRNA from 1 species
GACGAACGCUGGCGGCGUGCCUAACACAUGCAAGUCGAACGGAAAGGCCCUGCUUUUGUGGGGUGCUCGAGUGGCGAACGGGUGAGUAACACGUGAGUAACCUGCCCUUGACUUUGGGAUAACUUCAGGAAACUGGGGCUAAUACCGGAUAGGAGCUCCUGCUGCAUGGUGGGGGUUGGAAAGUUUCGGCGGUUGGGGAUGGACUCGCGGCUUAUCAGCUUGUUGGUGGGGUAGUGGCUUACCAAGGCUUUGACGGGUAGCCGGCCUGAGAGGGUGACCGGCCACAUUGGGACUGAGAUACGGCCCAGACUCCUACGGGAGGCAGCAGUGGGGAAUAUUGCACAAUGGGCGGAAGCCUGAUGCAGCAACGCCGCGUGCGGGAUGACGGCCUUCGGUUUGUAAACCGCUUUCGCCUGUGACGAAGCGUGAGUGACGGUAAUGGGUAAAGAAGCACCGGCUAACUACGUG